rnacentral:rRNA from 1 species
AACGAACGCUGGCGGCAGGCCUAACACAUGCAAGUCGAACGCUCCAGCAAUGGAGAGUGGCAGACGGGUGAGUAACGCGUGGGAACCCACCCUUUGGUUCGGAAUAGCCCAGGGAAACUUGGGGUAAUACCGGAUAAGCCCUUCGGGGGAAAGAUUUAUCGCCAAUGGAUGGGCCCGCGUCGGAUUAGCUAGUUGGUGGGGUAACGGCCUACCAAGGCGACGAUCCGUAGCUGGUCUGAGAGGAUGAUCAGCCACACUGGGACUGAGACACGGCCCAGACUCCUACGGGAGGCAGCAGUGGGGAAUAUUGGACAAUGGGCGCAAGCCUGAUCCAGCCAUGCCGCGUGAGUGACGAAGGUCUUCGGAUUGUAAAGCUCUUUUGGCGGGGAAGAUAAUGACGGUACCCGCAGAAUAAGCCCCGGCUAACUUCGUGCCAGCCGCCGCAGUAAAAC